AGUUCUCAUUCUGAUGUGACCACUCAUUUUGUCAGAGGUUUUCUCAGGCAGUCGACUUCCCUGAGGGACGGUGGGAAGUGGGCCCUAAAAGUCAGAAGGGUCUUUUUGAAACACACACUUGGCCAUGACCUUCUCCUACUUGGAUCUCUGUGGCUACCACCUACAAAUGGACACAUAAAGAGAAUCUAGAAGAAUCAGAAGGUCAGAAUGAGGGUAUCGUGCUACCCAUCUUUCUAAAAAAGGGGCAAGAAUUGAUUUGGAGAGUGAUCCACUGUGGUUGAGAACUGUUUGGAUAAAUGUGAUGACAUGGAAUUGGGAAGAAAAUUCUCCGCUAGCUUCUUCAUGGGAUGACGAUUCAUCAUCAGCAGCAAGAGUUAGAGGUGUCUGUGAUCCUUCUCUGGUUAUGUGUGAAGCAGCCCCCUGGUCACCCGGCAGGGCACUUAGUUCUGACUCUGGAAAAUGUCAUGGUAUUUGUUUUAGCCGUAGAUUAAUUUUCCAACUCAGCUUGUUAUCUCUAUUAAAAAUAGUUUAUUAGAGGGUGAUGGGCCUAUGGGUGCUGUGUCUUCUUUGCAUUCGACAAGUAUUUACUGAGUCCCUGCUCUCUGUGCCAGGCCCUGGGCUGAGGGCUGGACCCUCAGUGUUGGCGGGUCAGACUCGGCCCUCCUCCUGGAGGUAGCUGCUGAAGAAAAGGAUGUGUUUGAGGCCCUCGCAGGCACCAUGCCAUCAACAGUGCUGAAUGAAGAAGAUCCACGGAGUGAUAAGUCUGUGCAGAGUGGAGGCGUGGCCUUGCCCAGGGGGUCAGGCCAAGAUAUGGGAUCAACCUAGAUGUCCGUUUAGUGGAUGAACAGAUAAAGGAAAAGUGGGACAAACCAGCUACAGGCCCAUCCUGUAGUCUUCCCUACUCAGGAGGCCAAGGUGGGAGGAUCCCUGAGCCCAGGAAUUUGAGACCAGCCUUGUCACAACGGGGGUCCGUCUGGAGGACAUUGUGUUAAGUGAAGAAACCAAGCACCACAAGACAGAUCCUGAGUGAACUUAC